rnacentral:rRNA from 1 species
UACGAAGGGUGCAAGCGUUACUCGGAAUUACUGGGCGUAAAGCGUGCGUAGGCGGUUUGUUAAGUCCGCUGUGAAAGCCCUGGGCUCAACCUGGGAAUUGCAGUGGAUACUGGCAAGCUAGAGUGCGGUAGAGGAUGGUGGAAUUCCCGGUGUAGCGGUGAAAUGCGUAGAGAUCGGGAGGAACACCCGUGGCGAAGGCGGCCCCCUGGUUGGAUACUGACGCUGAUACGCGAAAGCGUGGGGAGCAAACAGG